rnacentral:rRNA from 1 species
UACGUAGGGUGCAAGCGUUAAUCGGAAUUACUGGGCGUAAAGCGUGCGCAGGCGGUUUUGUAAGACAGGGGUGAAAUCCCCGGGCUUAACCUGGGAACUGCAUUUGUGACUGCAAGGCUGGAGUGCGGCAGAGGGGGAUGGAAUUCCGCGUGUAGCAGUGAAAUGCGUAGAUAUGCGGAGGAACACCGAUGGCGAAGGCAAUCCCCUGGGCCUGCACUGACGCUCAUGCACGAAAGCGUGGGGGGCAAACAGG